CUCCAAUAGCCUCAAUUCCAAAUUCAAUAGAUAAUAUCAUUGUCUAGGUGCGUCAGAGUUUGCUAAGGAUCUCAAGGAUUUCGGGUAGUGCUCACACCAAGACUUUAUAAACAGAACUGAAUAAGUGCACAGUGGAAGAGCCAACUCCAGUGCAUCAGAGUUCAGAGGGAUCUCAUAGGAAUCCCAUGGUAGCCACACACUGGAGGGGCAGAACUUAAGGACCUAAGAGUAGAGUGGGAGUGCUUGACAUGGUUUUAAAAAGGUUUUAACAGAAAGCAAUAUUUGAAAAAUCUCAAUUGAAGUUGUUUUAUAAAAAGAGGAGAAUUGUACAGUAAAAUUGUUUUAACAAGAGUUGUGUAACAACAUAUCAAACGUAAAGUCAAAAAC
rnacentral:lncRNA from 1 species